rnacentral:rRNA from 1 species
UACGUAGGGUGCGAGCGUUGUCCGGAAUUAUUGGGCGUAAAGGGCUCGUAGGCGGUUUGUCGCGUCGGGAGUGAAAACCCAGGGCUUAACCCUGGGCUGGCUUCCGAUACGGGCAGACUAGAGGUAUGCAGGGGAGAACGGAAUUCCUGGUGUAGCGGUGAAAUGCGCAGGAUAUCAGGAGGAACACCGGUGGCGAAGGCGGUUCUCUGGGCAUUACCUGACGCUGAGGAGCGAAAGUGUGGGGAGCGAACAGG